GCUGGAAUGGCCGAGUCGUUAAGGCGAGUGAUUUGAAUCGUCAAUUAUCACUUGGUGUUUCACCGCGUAGGUUCAAAUCCUGCUUCCAGCG
rnacentral:tRNA from 1 species